GCUGUGGCUCAGUGGUAGAGUGCUUGCCUCGAAGGUGCGAGGCCCUGGGUUCAAUCCUCAGCAAUGUA
rnacentral:tRNA from 1 species